GAAUUUGAGGUCAGAGAUGCACAUGUGAACUUCCCCAUCAGGUUAUCAACUAGAAGCUGUGGGUGUGGGAAGUGGCAAAUUUCUGGAAUCCCCUGCAAGCAUGCACUCAGGGUGAUUUAUGACCAAAGGCUGAACCCCAUUGAUUUUGUCUCCCCAUUCUUCAAGUCUGCUGCAUACAAGCUUACAUAUGCAGACCACAUUCACCCCAUGUCAGACCCAACACAGUGGCCUAACUUUUCUCUCCCUACCAUUCAGCCUCCAGUCAUCAAAAGACAAGCUGGCAGACCUGCUAAGAAGAGAAAGAGAGGACCAAAUGAACCCAGGAAGGGGAAGAGGAACAGCAAUGUGAAAUGUGGAAAGUGCAGGGAGUUUGGUCAUAACUCAAGGACAUGUAAGAAUGGAGGACCAAGCACUGGACCAAGCACUUCAGCAGCAGCAGGAGCAAGUACAUCACAAGGGGGUCCAAGGGGGAGGAAAAGAGCAAACACAGCAACUUAACCAUGCACAAAGUUAAAAGUUAGUUAGUUUUUGGUGAAUUGUAGGUGCACAAAGUUAAAAUAGCUUAGGCAAUUUACAGUUAGUAUCACUUUUUGGAAAGAACACAAUUGCUUAGACAAGAUGUUUUUGUGCAGUUUCAGUGGCAUUUGUCCACUUAGAAAUCAGUUUUUGUAAAGCUCAUAUGCUUAAACAAGUGAUGUUAUUGCUUGAAAUUUGUUACAACUCUACUUCAUUGCUAUCCAAAUUAGAAAUGCAAACAUUAUUACACCAAUUUUUAUUGCAAACUUGAAUUGUUGUUUCUGUUGUUUCAGUUUCUUCUUCAAUAGCUUCAACUCUUCAUGCAUUCCGAUCCCCUGCUUCCUUCUUGCAUUCCCCUGUUUUCUUCUUGCAUUCCCCUGUUUUCAUCAGCUCUGUUUCCCUUGCUUUGAGCUUCAUCAAAUGUCUGCUCAACAAAACCUUUGCACCACUUGAAAUUAUCACAAGGAUCACACUUGUAGUAAAGCUUUUGCGGAUUUUUAGCCGUUUCCGAGCUCCUAAUUGCAAAUCUUCUCCCACAAUUGCAAUUUUUAUUUGGAACUCUUAGGUAUGACAAAUUUGGGAUGGAAGAGGAUCCGGUUUUUGAAUUAGAACUCAUGGCUAUUUAGGAAAUAGAGGGCUAAACAUGGAGCAAGUCAAGUGAACAACAGCCUUACUUAUAGGCAGCAUGAACAUAACGGCUAUAUUGAAUUAAAACUAGCCGUUGGAUUCAAAUUAUGAAGUUUGGGUAUUUGGUGCAAAGAACUUUACAAAUAGGUGUAUACUAUGCAAAACCUUUAUAUUUAGGUGCAUUUUAUGAAUUUUAAACAUGACUUAACGGAGGACUAACGGAAAGUCAUAAUAGGUGUAUUUGGUGAACAGUUUUGAGUAAAUAGGGGUAUUUUAUGAAUUUUGAAACGCGCAGGUGUAUUUGGUGCAUUAUUGCAAACCUCAGGGGCAUUUCAUGAAAAAACCGUUUUUAAUAAGGUGCUCAAAACCCUAACAGAGGAAUCUCUAGGCUUUGUUCGAGAAAUUUUAUUAAUUUGUGCGAUUGAAGAAGAAAAUGGGUCAGAUCCAGUACUCUGAGAAGUACUUUGAUGAUACGAAUACAGGCAUGUAGUUAUGCCAGCUGAAGUUACUAAACUUCUUCUGGAGAAUUGCGGCGUGUGUUAGGUUCUGAGAUAUAUCAUGAGAUGGUGGCAAAAGCAUUAUAAGUCUUCUCUUCUUUCUUCCGUUCAAACAGAAUUACAGAAGUUUUGGUGAAGCUUAGGAUUUGUGGCCACUUCUCUCAUUUGAAGCUUAAUGGUCAUUAUCGAUGAACUGAAAUUGCCAGCGUGUCAUUAUUGCCGCUUGUCGUCCCUUGGAGAUGAGACAACUUCGCGCUGAAAUUGGCACCGUCUCUAAAGCUGACGGGUAAUUUCCUAGAUUUUUUUCCAAUUUUAUUUUAAUUGUGUUUGGCAAUGAUAGAAAUUAUAAGUUUGAAUUUGGUAAUUGGGUGUAGCUCAGCUGUUUUCGA